rnacentral:rRNA from 1 species
UACGUAGGGGGCAAGCGUUGUCCGGAAUUAUUGGGCGUAAAGAGCGUGUAGGCGGUCCGGUAAGUCGGCUGUGAAAGUCCAGGGCUCAACCCUGGGAUGCCGGUCGAUACUGCCGGACUAGAGUUCGGAAGAGGCGAGUGGAAUUCCCGGUGUAGCGGUGAAAUGCGCAGAUAUCGGGAGGAACACCUAUGGCGAAGGCAGCUCGCUGGGACGUUACUGACGCUGAGGAGCGAAAGCCAGGGGAGGCAAAACGGG